GCGGUAAUUCCAGCUCUGUAAGCGUAUACCCAAGUUGUUGCAGUUAAAACGCUCGUAGUCGGAGUUUGGCGGACAAUCUGGGGCGUCCUCACGGACGGUUUCAGGUUGGCCGCCUUUGUGGAGGGGGGCCCAGCGGGGCUUCAUUGCGUCGCUGUGGUCGCUGCCACCGUUUACUGUGAAAAAAUUAGAGUGUUCAAAGCGGGCGUUUGCCAUGAAUACCUUAGCAUGGAAUAAUAGAAUAGGACCUGUCUCCUGUUUUGUUGGUUUGUGAGGAACGGGUAAUGAUUAAGAGGGACGGUUGGGGGCAUUUGUAUUCCGGCGUCAGAGGUGAAAUUCUUGGAUU
rnacentral:rRNA from 1 species